rnacentral:rRNA from 1 species
CAAGUCGAGCGGCAGCGGGAAGUAGUUUACUACUUCGCCGGCGAGCGGCGGACGGGUGAGUAAUGUCUGGGAAACUGCCUGAUGGAGGGGGAUAACUACUGGAAACGGUAGCUAAUACCGCAUGACCUCGCAAGAGCAAAGUGGGGGACCUUAGGGCCUCACGCCAUCGGAUGUGCCCAGAUGGGAUUAGCUAGUAGGUGGGGUAAUGGCUCACCUAGGCGACGAUCCCUAGCUGGUCUGAGAGGAUGACCAGCCACACUGGAACUGAGACACGGUCCAGACUCCUACGGGAGGCAGCAGUGGGGAAUAUUGCACAAUGGGCGCAAGCCUGAUGCAGCCAUGCCGCGUGUGUGAAGAAGGCCUUCGGGUUGUAAAGCACUUUCAGCGAGGAGGAAGGCAAUCGUGUUAAU